GGGGUUGUGGCUCAGUGGUAAAGCGUUUGCCUAGCAUGCAAGAGGCACUGGGUUUGAUCCUCAGCACCA
rnacentral:tRNA from 1 species